rnacentral:rRNA from 1 species
AGCCGCUUCCGACACUUCAUCGGCGACAUGGAGCUAUGUGACGUGUACAUGCAUGGUCGUCGCUAUACUUGGUCGAACGAGCGCGACUCCCCCACCCUUGUGUGUAACGAUCGGUUUCUCUGCACCUCAGACUGGGAUACUUCGCAGCCGCACUGCCUUCUCCGGUGCCUCGCCACGACCGUCUCCGACCACUGCCCUCUCUUCUUGGACUGCUCAACACAACACGCUGGCCCAAAAUGA